UACGUAGGGGGCAAGCGUUGUCCGGAUUUAUUGGGCGUAAAGAGCGUGUAGGCGGCCAUACAGGUCAGCUGUGAAAACUCGAGGCUCAACCUCGAGACGUCGGUUGAAACCGUUUGGCUAGAGUCCGGAAGAGGAGAGUGGAAUUCCCGGUGUAGCGGUGAAAUGCGCAGAUAUCGGGAAGAACACCCGUGGCGAAGGCGGCUCUCUGGGACGGUACUGACGCUGAGACGCGAAAGCGUGGGGAGCGACCAGG
rnacentral:rRNA from 1 species